rnacentral:rRNA from 1 species
UAUUGGACAAUGGGGGGAACCCUGAUCCAGCGACGCCGCGUGAGUGAAGAAGUAUCUCGGUAGUUAAAGCUCUAUCAGCAGGGAAGAAGAAAUGACCGUACCUGAGUAAGAAGCCCCGGCUAACUACGUGCCAGCAGCCGCGGUAAUACGUAGGGGGCAAGCGUUACCCGGAAUUACUGGGUGUAAAGGGAGCGUAGACGGUGAUGUAAGUCUGGAGUGAAAGGCGGGGGCCCAACCCCCGGACUGCUCUGGAAACUAGGUGACUGGAGUGCAGAAGAGGUGAGCGGAAUUCCUUGUGUAGCGGUGAAAUGCGUAGAUAUUAGGAGGAACACCAGUGGCGAAGGCGGCUCACUGGACUGUAACUGACGUUGAGGCUCGAAAGCGUGGGGAGCAAACAGG